rnacentral:rRNA from 1 species
GUCUCACCUCUUACCAUUCCGAACAGAGAAGUUAAACCUUUUAGCGCAGAUGGUACUGCAAUUUGUGGGAGAGUAUGUCGCCGCCUUCU